GCCCGAAUAGCUCAGUUGGUAGAGCAGCGGAUUGAAAAUCCGCGUGUCGGCGGUUCAAAUCCGUCUUCGGGCA
rnacentral:tRNA from 2 species